AGAGUUUGAUCAUGGCUCAGAUUGAACGCUGGCGGCAUGCUUAAUACAUGCAAGUCGAGCGGCAGCGCGGGGGGCUUGCUCUCCGGCGGCGAGCGGCGGACGGGUGAGUAAAGCAUGGGAAUCUGCCCGGUAGUGGGGGACAACUCGGGGAAACCCGAGCUAAUACCGCAUACGACCUACGGGUGAAAGCGGGGGACCUUCGGGCCUCGCGCUAUCGGAUGAGCUCAUGUCGGAUUAGCUUGUUGGUGAGGUAAAGGCUCACCAAGGCGGCGAUCCGUAGCCGGCCUGAGAGGGUGAACGGCCACACCGGGACUGAGACACGGCCCGGACUCCUACGGGAGGCAGCAGUAGGGAAUAUUGGACAAUGGGGGCAACCCUGAUCCAGCAAUGCCGCGUGUGUGAAGAAGGCCUGCGGGUUGUAAAGCACUUUCAGCGGGGACGAAAAGCCUGCGGUUAAUAACUGCGGGUCUUGACUUAACCUGAAGAAGAAGCACCGGCUAACUCUGUGCCAGCAGCCGCGGUAAUACAGAGGGUGCGAGCGUUAAUCGGAAUUACUGGGCGUAAAGCGUGCGUAGGCGGUCAUUUAAGUCGGAUGUGGAAUCCCCGGGCUCAACCUGGGAAUUGCAUUCGAUACUGUAUGACUGGAGUACAGUAGAGGGAAGCGGAAUUCCGGGUGUAGCGGUGAAAUGCGUAGAUAUCCGGAGGAACAUCGGUGGCGAAGGCGUCUUCCUGGACUGAUACUGACGCUGAGGUACGAAAGCGUGGGGAGCAAACAGGAUUAGAUACCCUGGUAGUCCACGCCCUAAACGAUGUCAACUAGCUGUUGGGGGAAAUCAGUCCCUUAGUAGCGCAGCUAACGCGCUAAGUUGACCGCCUGGGGAGUACGGCCGCAAGGUUAAAACUCAAAUGAAUUGACGGGGGCCCGCACAAGCGGUGGAGCAUGUGGUUUAAUUCGAUGCAACGCGAAGAACCUUACCUGGCCUUGACAUCCCGGGAAUCCUUUAGAGAUAGAGGAGUGCCUUCGGGAACCUGGAGACAGGUGCUGCAUGGCUGUCGUCAGCUCGUGUCGUGAGAUGUUGGGUUAAGUCCCGCAACGAGCGCAACCCUUGUCCUUAGUUGCCAGCACUUCGGGUGGGAACUCUAAGGAGACUGCCGGUGACAAACCGGAAGAAGGUGGGGAUGACGUCAAGUCAUCAUGGCCCUUACGGCCAGGGCUACACACGUGCUACAACGGGCGGUACAGAGGGUUGCCAAGUCGCAAGGCGGAGCUAAUCCCGAAAAGCCGUCCGUAGUCCGGAUUGGAGUCUGCAACUCGACUCCAUGAAGUCGGAAUCGCUAGUAAUCGCAAAUCAGAAUGUUGCGGUGAAUACGUUCCCGGGCCUUGUACACACCGCCCGUCACACCAUGGGAGUGAAUUGCAAAAGAAGUGGAUAGCUUAACCUUCGGGAGGGCGUUCACCACUUUGUGAUUCAUGACUGGGGUGAAGUCGUAACAAGGUA
rnacentral:rRNA from 1 species